GCAAGGAGGUGCUAAAAACCUCGGGGUGGGGCGAUGGGAGGGCCCGGGUGCAUUGCAUUGCAUUGCAUGUGGCUUUUUAAAUUUUAUUUAACCCUGCCUUAUUUGCGGACACCAGGUUUUGCUAAAGGCGGAUGGACACCCCGCCCCCCCCCCACCAUCGUGGGGAUUGUUGCAGAAUCCAGGACGGUGUCCGGCCUGACAGGUGGAAAAAUAAUUGCUGAGCCAGAGCUUUCAUCAAAGGGGGGGGGUCAUGGCAUGGAGACUUCAUUCCUUCUUGGGGGUCGCAGAAAAAACGAAGAAUGGACCCAUAUACUGGUGGCAUUGCGGGAGGAAGUGAAGGAUGCGGAAGCGUUUGGGCUGAUUUGUGAGCAUGUGGGGGAUUUCUUGAUCCGGAGGAGAAAAUUCUACCAGAACAUGCAGAGAGAUGAAGAUGGAGCAACAAGAGACAAGAAGGAACCCGAGAUUGCUUGGGAAGGACCUGGGAAAGGAGACUUGGGGAGGUGGGACCUCACACCUGACUCAUCGGGGCAAGAUCUACUGGGAAGAGUUGCUGUGCUCGCUAGGCCUGCUCUCUGAGCUUGUUUUUCCCCCUUUGAAUAAAGAGUUAACUUCAUUGA